GACGAACGUUGGCGGCGUGCUUAAUACAUGCAAGUCAACUGAAGCACCGGUAGCAAUACUGGUGUGGAGGUGGCGCACGGGUGAGUAACACGUAGGUAAUCUGCCUUCAGGUCUGACAUAACUCCGGGAAACCGAAGCUAAUAUCAGAUGAUGCAGCGGCUUGACAUCAAGACAGUUGUUAAAGCUUCGGCGCCUGAAGAUGAGCCUGCGCUGAUUAGCUAGUUGGCGGGGUAACGGCCCACCAAGGCAACGAUCAGUAGCUGGUCUGAGAGGAUGAUCAGCCACACUGGAACUGAGACACGGUCCAGACUCCUACGGGAGGCAGCAGUAAGGAAUAUUGCUCAAUGGGAGAAAUCCUGAAGCAGACAACGCCGCGUGAGGGAUGAAGGGCUUUUG
rnacentral:rRNA from 1 species